CAGUAGCCGCGGUAAUACAGAGGGUGCAAGCGUUAAUCGGGUUUACUGGGCGUAAAGGGCGCGUAGGUGGUUAUGUAAGUGAGAUGUGAAAUCCCCGGGCUCAACCUGGGAACUGCAUCUUAUACUGCGUAGCUGGAGUGCAGUAGAGGGUAGUGGAAUUUCCGGUGUAGCGGUGAAAUGCGUAGAUAUCGGAAGGAACACCAGUGGCGAAGGCGGCUACCUGGACUGACACUGACACUGAGGCGCGAAAGCGUGGGGAGCAAACAGGAUUAGAUACCCCCGUAGUCCCUGUCUCUUAUAA
rnacentral:rRNA from 1 species